rnacentral:rRNA from 1 species
CCUACGGGUGGCAGCAGUGAGGAAUAUUGGUCAAUGGACGAGAGUCUGAACCAGCCAAGUAGCGUGAAGGAUGACUGCCCUAUGGGUUGUAAACUUCUUUUAUAAAGGAAUAAAACGAGGCACGUGUGCCUUUUUGCAUGUACUUUAUGAAUAAGGAUCGGCUAACUCCGUGCCAGCAGCCGCGGUAAUACGGAGGAUCCGAGCGUUAUCCGGAUUUAUUGGGUUUAAAGGGAGCGUAGGUGGGUUGUUAAGUCAGGUGUGAAAGUUUGCGGCUCAACCGUAAAAUGGCAAUUGAUACUGGCAGUCUAGAGUACAGUUGAGGUAGGCGGAAUUCGUGGUGUAGCGGUGAAAUGCUUAGAUAUCACGAAGAACCCCGAUUGCGAAGGCAGCUUACUAACCUGUGACUGACAUUGAUGCUCGAAAGUGUGGGUAUCAAACAGGAUUAGAUACCCGUGUAGUC